AUUGAACGCUGGCGGAAUGCUUUACACAUGCAAGUCGAACGGUAGAGGGGGCAACCCCCUUGAGAGUGGCGAACGGGUGAGUAAUAUAUCGGAACGUGCCCAGUCGUGGGGAUAACGUAGCGAAAGUUACGCUAAUACCGCAUACGAUCUAAGGAUGAAAGCGGGGGACUCGCAAGAGCCUCGCGCGAUUGGAGCGGCCGAUAUCAGAUUAGGUAGUUGGUGGGGUAAAGGCUCACCAAGCCAACGAUCUGUAGCUGGUCUGAGAGGACGACCAGCCACACUGGAACUGAGACACGGUCCAGACUCCUACGGGAGGCAGCAGUGGGGAAUUUUGGACAAUGGACGCAAGUCUGAUCCAGCCAUUCCGCGUGCAGGAUGAAGGCCCUCGGGUUGUAAACUGCUUUUGUACGGAACGAAAGGUUUCUAUUAAUACUAGGAGCUCAUGACGGUACCGUAAGAAUAAGCACCGGCUAACUACGUGCCAGCAG
rnacentral:rRNA from 1 species